GAUGAACGCUGGCGGUAUGCCUAACACAUGCAAGUCGAACGGGGUCUUCGGAUCUAGUGGCGGACGGGUGAGUAACGCGUGAGAAUCUGCCUUCAGGAUGGGGACAACAGUUGGAAACGACUGCUAAUACCCGAUAUGCAGCGAUGUGAAAGAUUUAUCGCCUGGAGAUGAGCUCGCGUCUGAUUAGCUAGUUGGUGUGGUAAAGGCGCACCAAGGCGACGAUCAGUAGCUGGUCUGAGAGGAUGAGCAGCCACACUGGGACUGAGACACGGCCCAGACUCCUACGGGAGGCAGCAGUGGGGAAUUUUCCGCAAUGGGCGAAAGCCUGACGGAGCAAUACCGCGUGAGGGAGGAAGGCUCUUGGGUCGUAAACCUCUUUUCUCAGGGAAGAACAAAAUGACGGUACCUGAGGAAUAAGCAUCGGCUAACUCUGUGCCAGCAGCCGCGGUAAUACAGAGGAUGCAAGCGUUAUCCGGAAUGAUUGGGCGUAAAGCGUCCGUAGGUGGUUAUGUAAGUCUGUGGUUAAAGCGUGGAGCUCAACUCCAUAAGGGCCAUGGAAACUACAAGACUAGAGUCAAGUAGGGGUAGAGGGAAUUCCCAGUGUAGCGGUGAGAUGCGUAGAGAUUCGGAAGAGCACCGGUGGCGAAAGCGCUCUACUGGACUUGUACUGACACUGAGGGACUUCGCUAGGGGAGCGAACGGAUUAGGAUACAUCUGUAGUCCUAGCCGUAAACGAUGGAUACUAUGUGUUGCACCG
rnacentral:rRNA from 1 species